rnacentral:rRNA from 1 species
GAUGAACGCUGGCGGCGUGCCUAAUACAUGCCAGUCGAGCGAACAGACGAGGAGCUUGCUCCUCUGACGUUAGCGGCGGACGGGUGAGUAACACGUGGAUAACCUACCUAUAAGACUGGGAUAACUUCGGGAAACCGGAGCUAAUACCGGAUAAUAUAUUGAACCGCAUGGUUCAAUAGUGAAAGACGGUUUUGCUGUCAAUUAUAGAUGGAUCCGCGCCGCAUUAGCUAGUUGGUAAGGUAACGGCUUACCAAGGCAACGAUGCGUAGCCGACCUGAGAGGGUGAUCGGCCACACUGGAACUGAGACACGGUCCAGACUCCUACGGGAGGCAGCAGUAGGGAAUCUUCCGCAAUGGGCGAAAGCCUGACGGAGCAACGCCGCGUGAGUGAUGAAGGUCUUCGGAUCGUAAAACUCUGUUAUUAGGGAAGAACAAAUGUGUAAGUAACUAUGCACGUCUUGACGGUACCUAAUCAGAAAGCCACGGCUAACUACGUG